GGAAGGAAACAGAAGCACUUACAAGUCUUUCUGGUUAUGGAAAAGAGGCCUGCAAUUCAGGAGCUGGUAAUCCGUACAGCCAAUGCUUGAAGGCUGGUAGACCUUGAAGUUUAGUUUCCUACCUGCAGUUUAAGAUCCUAUGAAAACACAAUGUGACAGAAGUGAAUAUGAUGAAUUCCGAGCACCCAGUCAGAUAACUCCAUGAGUGAUGAAGAAAGCACUGAAGUCUAAUACGUGAG